UUGAACGCUGGCGGCAUGCUUUACCCAUGCCAGUCGCACGGUAACAGGCCGCAAGGUGCUGACGAGUGGCGAACGGGUGAGUAAUGCAUCGGAACGUGCCCAGUCGUGGGGGAUAACUACUCGAAAGAGUAGCUAAUACCGCAUACGAUCUAUGGAUGAAAGCGGGGGACCGUAAGGCCUCGCGCGAUUGGAGCGGCCGAUGUCAGAUUAGGUAGUUGGUGGGGUAAAGGCUCACCAAGCCAACGAUCUGUAGCUGGUCUGAGAGGACGACCAGCCACACUGGGACUGAGACACGGCCCAGACUCCUACGGGAGGCAGCAGUGGGGAAUUUUGGACAAUGGGCGCAAGCCUGAUCCAGCAAUGCCGCGUGCAGGAAGAAGGCCUUCGGGUUGUAAACUGCUUUUGUACGGAACGAAACGGCUCUGGUUAAUACCCGGGGCUAAUGACGGUACCGUAAGAAUAAGCACCGGCUAACUACGUG
rnacentral:rRNA from 1 species